CUGGCCCUUGAAGACACGUCGCAAUCACGUACCUUUUUUGCACAUCUGACCAAUAGUGCAAUUUAUACUGGAUAACAAACAAUUGUACAUGAAAUGUUUACAAUCAAAGUUAAAUAUUUCUAACAUAGGUACACGUACAAUCAACAGCAUUAUCCACAAGUUACUAUUAGAAUUAAAAUUAAAAUUAAAAUUGUCGUGUGUGAUGGGUAGUGCCAAAUAAACUAAAAUAAAUAAAAGGUCGCCGUUUUAAACAACGAGUAGAAGCGCACUCGCC